UAGAAUGUCACCAAGUGUGCAAAUGUCACAGGGAUGGAGUCUGCUCUACAGUCUCUGUGUGCUGGUGGAGAUGCCCUUGGGGUUUUAAUGUCAGUGAGGAGGACAGUUGUCUACUGACCGGCACCUGUUCAAGCUUUCCCCAAGUGGGAAACUUCAGUGAUGACAGAGGAACCUUUGUGAAAGUCUAGGAAAGGAUGGCUAUUGGUGCUUUACUCACCACUCCAUCACCCAGAUCCCUGAGAGGAAGGUGAAAACACACCACCCUGACACUUCCUGGUGCCUGGAUGUGUGGACCAGGGCCUGCAGGUCCAUGCCGAAGUCAAUGAACUCCCACUCGAUGCCCUCCUUCUUGUACUCCUCCUGCUCCAGCACAAACAUGUGGUGGUUGAAGAACUGCUGCAGCUUCUCGUUGGUGAAGUUGA